UACGAAGGGUGCAAGCGUUAAUCGGAAUUACUGGGCGUAAAGCGUGCGUAGGCGGUUUUUUAAGUCUGCUGUGAAAUCCCCGGGCUCAACCUGGGAAUGGCAGUGGAUACUGGAAAGCUAGAGUGUGUCAGAGGAUGGUGGAAUUCCCGGUGUAGCGGUGAAAUGCGUAGAGAUCGGGAGGAACAUCAGUGGCGAAGGCGGCCAUCUGGGACAACACUGACGCUGAGGCACGAAAGCGUGGGGAGCGAACAGG
rnacentral:rRNA from 1 species